ACUGAUGCUCAAAUUACCAAGCACUACCUGAACGCCUCAUCGGUCUUUAACGAAUCACUGCACCAACUGUCGUCAUUCCGCUUUGCUCUCUGCUGUGGAACUUGACUGACAUCUGUGCUUUGCCUGUGUGCAGAAGAACAAGGACCAGAUCUCCAGUCUUCUCUGUCACAUCCCAACCCACA